GACGAACGCUGGCGGCGUGCUUAACACAUGCAAGUCGAACGGAAAGGCCCUGCUUUUGUGGGGUGCUCGAGUGGCGAACGGGUGAGUAACACGUGAGUAACCUGCCCUUGACUUGGGGAUAACUUCAGGAAACUGGGGCUAAUACCGGAUAGGAGCUCCUGCUGCAUGGUGGGGGUUGGAAAGUUUCGGCGGUUGGGGAUGGACUCGCGGCUUAUCAGCUUGUUGGUGGGGUAGUGGCUUACCAAGGCUUUGACGGGUAGCCGGCCUGAGAGGGUGACCGGCGACAUUGGGACUGAGAUACGGACCAGACUCCUACGGGAGGCAGCAGUGGGGAAUAUUGCACAAUGGGCGGAAGCCUGAUGCAGCAACGCCGCGUGCGGGAUGACGGCCUUCGGGUUGUAAACCGCUUUCGCCUGUGACGAAGCGUGAGUGACGGUAAUGGGUAAAGAAGCACCGGCUAACUACGUG
rnacentral:rRNA from 1 species